rnacentral:misc_RNA from 1 species
GUCUAGGUUUGUGGGUCGACCGCAAGGGCCUUCCCAGAGCUUCAGCUUCGUUUGGUGUUUGGUUUGUGGGGUGAGCUUUCGUCCAGCGGGCCCCUCCUCACCCGAAGGAAAGAGGAGGGUCCCACACCGCGAGACCUUGUCCCAGUCUCAACCGACGGCGAGCGUCGGCCAGCGGCUGGGCCAGGAACAGGCGCCCGGCUCGGCCCACGAGGGGCCUGCACCGAGGGAACACAACGACUUGGUCAGCGGUCAAACGAUAUAAUAGAUUCAAUGAUCCCUCCGCAGGUUCACCUACGGAGA